CUGAUUAUGGUGUUCUUUGGUGUAUCGCCACAAUAUAGCCUUUUAGUGCUGAUGCAGCAUAAAGUAAUCACCAAUCAAUGUUCUUUGAAGUAGCUCAUAACAGCUUUUAAUUUAAACCUUUAAGAACCAAGUGGUGUAUUGGGAACUGUAACCGUAUACGCUAGCUUGUUAAAAAUCUGAAUCAGCCACCCAGCCGUGUACGAAAUAUGGUAUUUUUGUAAAUAUGCAUAGAUUACUUUAUCCAGGAUACUUAUCUGCAAACAUUCAAUUAAUUCUGUUAUUCAUAUUAAAAAUAUUUUUUUUCUUUUUACAAACAAUCACAGUUUGACACAAUACUUUGCUUGCAUUUUAGGACUAGAAGUAAUGAGACAAAAUCACAAGAUAUAUUUGUUGAAGACAGUGUAGCUUAAUGUUUGGAAACUGUCCAAAAAGAUAGUCAACUGUAUGUUCUUUUAUCAUUCUGAAUAUCCUAGAAAUAUUUGCCACUGGAAGUUCAGUCAAAUAUCAUUAAUCCUUCUGAUCCGUAGAGAGCUGAAUGAAACAUUCAAAACAGACCUAUUGGUUGUACUACAUUUAUUCCAAAUAAAAUAAAUAAAAUGCUCCGCAGGGCGCAGCUUGAUACGACCGCAGAGGUCGAACCCUGAACAGUUGGGGCAAGUAUGGACACAACAUUCAAGCUUGAUACAGCUCUGAAUUUGGAUUGUGAUUAAAUAUUUGACACAGCAUAGGUUUCUGACACAGAAAGAAUGUGGUCUAAGAACUUCAAUUUUUUUAAUUUACCUAUUAUGGUCCAAUGCCCAAAAUCAAAAUACAUGGUUAGAUUCAGCAUAUCAAAGAAACCCCAUAUAUUCAAUUUUUGUUGAAAUCAAACAAAGUUUAAUUUUGGACCCCAACUUGGACAAACUUGAAAACUGGUCCCAUAAUCAAAAAUCUAAACACAUGUUUAGAUUCAGCAUAUCAAAGUACCCCAAGAAUUCAAUUUUUGUUAAAAUCAAACUAAGUUUAAUUUUGGACCCUUUGGACCUUAAUGUAGACCAAUUUAAAAAACGGGACCCAAAAUUAAAAAUCUAAAAACACGGUUAGAUUUGGCAUAUCAAAGAACCCCAAUAAUUCAAUUUUUGAUGAAAUCAAACAAAGUUUAAUUUUGGACCCUUUUGACCUCAAUAUGAACCAAUUUGAUAGCGGGCCCACAAAAUAAAAAAUCUAAAUACAUGGUAAGAUUCAGCAUAUCAAAGAACCCCAUAUAUUCAAUUUUUGUUGAAAUCAAACAAAGUUUAAUUUUGGACCCCGAUUUGGACCAACUUGAAAACUGGGCCCAUAAUCAAAAAUCUAAAUACAUGUUUAGAUUCAGCAUAUCAAAGAACCCUAAAAAUUCAAUUUUUGUUAAAAUCAAACAAAGUUUAAUUUUGGACCCUUUUGACCUUAAUGUAGACCAAUUUGAAAACGGAACCAAAAAUUAAGAAUCUAAAUACACGGUUAGAUUCGGCAUAUCAAAGAACCCCAAUAAUUCAAUUUUUGAUGAAAUCAAACAAAGUUUAAUUUUGGACCCUUUGAACCUCAAUGUGGACCAAUUAAAAAACGGGGCCCAAAAUCCAAAAACUUAAUACUUGGUUAGAUUCAGCAUAUUAAAGAACCCCAAGAAUUCAAGAAUAAAACCCCAUUGAAAUUGAUCAAGAAAUAAGAAAUUUAUACGAAGUAUCUUCUUUUGCACAAUACUGUGCAAUUGAAUAUUUCUUGCUAUUGUGCAAUACUGUACAAUUGACAAUUUCUUGCUAUUGCGCAUUAUUGUGCUAUUGGAUAUUUCUUGCUAUUGCGCAAUACUGUGCAAUUGAAGAUUUCUUGCUCUUGCGCAAUACUGUGCAAUUGAAGAUUUCUUGCAAUUGUGCAAUACUGUGCAAUUGAAAAUUUCUUGCUAUUGCACAAUACUUAUUAUAUAAUAAUUUACACAUCCUGUUUGGUGUGUAUCUCCUACCAUAUCAUUAUUAUUUGCUUUUAAAUAUUAAUCAGAAAUAACCAACUUAAAAUGGAAAAUUUUAAAAGAAAAAAAAAAAGGAAAAAAAGAAAAAAAAAGAAAAAAAAAAAUCCCCCCCCCAAAUUUUUGAACCCCCUUAUGAUUCAUCACCCCCAAACUCAAUCCCAGCCUUCCCUUUGUGGUAUGGUACCUUGCAGUACAAUUUCAGAGAGAUCCAUACACUUGAACACAAGUUAUUGUCUGGAAACUAGAAAAAUGCUUAUUUUUGGCCCCUUUUUGGCCCCCUAUUCCUAAACGUUUCGGGCAAUUAGCCACAAACUCAAUUCCAGCUUUCCCUUUGUGAUAUGGAACCUUGUAGUACAAUUUCAGAAAUAUCCAAACACUUACACACAAGUUAUUGUCAUGAAACUAGAAAAAUGCUUGUUUUUUGCCCCUUUUUUGGCCCCUAAUUCCUAAAAUUUUGAGGCAAUUACCCCAAAAAUCAAUUACAGCCUUCCCUUUGUGAUAUGGAACCUUGUGGUACAAUGUCAGAGAGAUCCAUACACUUACACACAAGUUAUUGUCUGGAAGUUACAAAAAUGCUUAUUUUUGGCCCCUUUUUGGCCCCUAAUUCCUUAACUGUUAGUACCAUAACCCCCAAAAUCAAUCCCAACCUUCCUUUCGUGGUAUUGAACCUUAUGGUAAAAUUUCAUGGAGAUCCAUUCACUUAAACUAAAGUUAGAGUGCGAAAACCAAUGUGUCUUCGGACGACGCCGGACGACGCCAGACGACGACGACGACGACGACGACGCCAACGUCAUACCAAUAUACGACCAAAAAAUUUUCAAUUUUUGCGGUCGUAUAAAAACGGGACCCAAAAUUAAAAAUCUAAAAACACAGUUAGAUUUGGCAUAUCAAAGACCCCCAAUAAUUCAAUUUUUGAUGAAAUCAAACAAAGUUUAAUUUUGGACCCUUUUGACCUCAAUAUGAACCAAUUUGAUAGCGGGGCCACAAAAUAAAAAAUCUAAAUACAUGGUAAGAUUCAGAAUAUCAAAGAACCCCAUAUAUUCAAUUUUUGUUGAAAUCAAACAAAGUUUAAUUUUGGACCCCAACUUGGACCAACUUGAAAACUGGUCCCAUAAUAAAAAAUCUAAACACAUGUUUAGAUUCAGCAUAUCAAAGAACCCCAAAAAUUCAAUUUUUGUUAAAAUCAAACUAAGUUAAAUUUUGGACCCUUUGGACCUUAAUGUAGACCAAUUUAAAAAACGGGACCCAAAUUUAAAAAUCUAAAUACACAGUUAGAUUUGGCAUAUCAAAGAACCCCAAUAAUUAAAUUUUUGAUGAAAUCAAACAAAGUUUAAUUUUGGACCCUUUUGACCUCAAUAUGAACCAAUUUGAUAGCGGGCCCACAAAUAAAAAAUCUAAAUACAUGGUAAGAUUCAGCAUAUCAAAGAACCCCAUAUAUUCAAUUUUUGUUGAAAUCAAACAAAGUUUAAUUUUGGACCCCAAUUUGGACCAACUUGAAAACUGGGCCAAAAAUCUAAAAUCUAAAUACAUGUUUAGAUUCAGCAUAUCAAAGAACCCCAUAUAUUCAAUUUUUGUUGAAAUCAAACAAAGUUUAAUUUUGGACCCCAACUUGGACCAACUUGAAAACUAAGCCCAUAAUCAAAAAUCUAAACACAUGUUUAGAUUCAGCAUAUCAAAGAACCCCAAGAAUUCAAUUUGUGUUAAAAUCAAACUAAGUUUAAUUUUGGAUCCUUAGGACCUUAAUUUAGACCAAUUUAAAAACGGGACCCAAAAUUAAAAAUCUAAAUACACGGUUAGAUUUGGCAUAUCAAAGAACCCCAAUAAUUCAAUUUUUGAUGAAAUCAAACAAAGUUUAAUUUUGGACCCUUUUGACCUCAAUAUGAACCAAUUUGAUAGCGGGUCCACGAAUAAAAAAUCUAAAUACAUGGUUAGAUUCAGCAUAUCAAAGAACCCCAAGAAUUCAAUUUUUGAUGAAAUCAAACAAAGUUUAAUUUUGGACCCUUUUGACCUCAAUGUGGACAAAGUUGAUAAAGGGGCCCAAAAAUCAAAAUACAUGGUUAGAUUCAGCAUAUCAAAGAACCCCAUAUAUUCAAUUUUUGUUGAAAUCAAACAAAGUUUAAUUUUGGACCCCAAUUUGGACCAACUUGAAAACUGGGCCAAAAAUCAAAAA